rfam:Lupinus angustifolius cultivar Tanjil contig_4178, whole genome shotgun sequence.
AGGUACGAUCAUACCAUCACUAAUGCACCGGAUCUUAUCAGAACUCUAGAGUUAAGUGUGCAUGGGAAAGAGUAGUAUGAGGACGGGUCACCUCCUAGAAGUCCUCGUGUUGCACCUC